UUGUCCUUAGUUACCAGCACGUUAUGGUGGGCACUCUAAGGAGACUGCCGGUGACAAACCGGAGGAAGGUGGGGAUGACGUCAAGUCGUCAUGGCCCUUACGGCCUGGGCUACACACGUGCUACAAUGGUCGGUACAAAGGGUUGCCAAGCCGCGAGGUGGAGCUAAUACCCAUAAAACCGAUCGUAGUCCGGAUCGCAGUCUGCAACUCGACUGCGUGAAGUCGGAAUCGCUAGUAAUCGUGAAUCAGAAUGUCACGGUGAAUACGUUCCCGGGCCUU
rnacentral:rRNA from 1 species